rnacentral:rRNA from 1 species
CGCCUCUUGCAAAACUAAUGAAUAAGAGGUCCCGCCUGCCCUGUGACUAUAUGUUUAACGGCCGCGGUAUUUUGACCGUGCAAAGGUAGCGCAAUCACUUGUCCUUUAAAUGGGGACCUGUAUGAAUGGCAUAACGAGGGCUUAGCUGUCUCCUCUUUCAAGUCAAUGAAAUUGAUCUUCCCGUGCAGAAGCGGGAAUAGUAACAUAAGACGAGAAGACCCUAUGGAGCUUUAGACACAAAAUAGACCACGUCAAACACCCUUGAAUAAAAGAACAAACUAAGUGGACCCUGUUCAAAUGUCUUUGGUUGGGGCGACCACGGGGUAACAAAAAACCCCCAUGUGGAGUAAAACACCAUUUUAAAACCAAGAGCCACUGCUCUAAUAAACAGAACAUCUGACCAAUGAGAUCCGGCCUAGCCGAUCAACGAACCGAGUUACCCUAGGGAUAACAGCGCAAUCCUCUUUUAGAGUCCAUAUCGACAAGAGGGUUUACGACCUCGAUGUUGGAUCAGGACAUCCUAAUGGUGCAGCCGCUAUUAAGGGUUCGUUUGUUCAACGAUUAAAGUCCU